GAUGAACGCUGGCGGCGUGCCUAAUACAUGCAAGUCGAGCGAACAGACGAGGAGCUUGCUCCUCUGACGUUAGCGGCGGACGGGUGAGUAACACGUGGAUAACCUACCUAUAAGACUGGGAUAACUUCGGGAAACCGUAGCUAAUACCGGAUAAUAUAUUGAACCGCAUGGUUCAAUAGUGAAAGACGGUCUUGCUGUCACUUAUAGAUGGAUCCGCGCUGCAUUAGCUAGUUGGUAAGGUAACGGCUUACCAAGGCAACGAUGCAUAGCCGACCUGAGAGGGUGAUCGGCCACACUGGAACUGAGACACGGUCCAGACUCCUACGGGAGGCAGCAGUAGGGAAUCUUCCGCAAUGGGCGAAAGCCUGACGGAGCAACGCCGCGUGAGUGAUGAAGGUCUUCGGAUCGUAAAACUCUGUUAUUAGGGAAGAACAAAUGUGUAAGUAACUAUGCACGUCUUGACGGUACCUAAUCAGAAAGCCACGGCUAACUACGUG
rnacentral:rRNA from 1 species